rfam:Candidatus Nomurabacteria bacterium RIFCSPLOWO2_12_FTLL_44_11 rifcsplowo2_12_scaffold_2763, whole genome shotgun sequence.
GAGCGUGUAGUUCAGUGGUAGAACGCUGUCCUGAUAAGACAGAGGUCGAUGGUUCGAUCCCAUCCACGCUCA